CCUUUACACAAUUCUACAGAAAGGGUAUAUUGUGUUGGUGUUUCAGAAAUUCUCCUUUUGUGAUUCUCAUUGGAAGGCUGGAGGUAGCCAAGAGGAUCAGACGUUUCUUCUCUCAGAACCCCAGAAGCUGGCCUGAGGCACUAGCAGUCAUGGUAAAGCUUGGAGACAGACAGAGACCUCCAGGUUGAAGAAUACUGCUGCUGACUUACUGUAAGAGUCAUCAUGUCUGCAGUUAUGGUGCCCAGUUCUUAUCUCUACUUCUCUGAGCAAGGGGGGCCUGUGGG
rnacentral:lncRNA from 1 species